rnacentral:rRNA from 1 species
UACAGAGGUCUCAAGCGUUGUUCGGAUUCAUUGGGCGUAAAGGGCGCGUAGGCGGCUCAGUAAGGUUGCGGUGAAAGCCCGGGGCUCAACCCCGGGUCGGCCGUGGCAACUGCUGGGCUGGAGCACUGUAGAGGCAGGUGGAAUUCCGGGUGUAGCGGUGGAAUGCGUAGAGAUCCGGAAGAACACCGGUGGCGAAGGCGGUUCUCUGGGACGGUACUGACGCUGAGACGCGAAAGCGUGGGGAGCGAACAGG